rnacentral:rRNA from 1 species
AGCCAUUGCUAUCAGGGUUUGACUAAGCCAUGCGAGUCGAGAGGUGUAAGACCUCGGCAUACUGCUCAGUAACACGUGGUUAACCUGCCCUAAGGUGGAGCAUACUCCCGGGAAACUGGGGCUAAUACUCCAUAGUGGAUAUAUCCUGGAAUGGUAUAUCCUCGAAAGAUCCGUCGCCUUAGGAUGGGACUGCGUCCGAUUAGGUUGUUGGCGGGGUAACGGCCCACCAAGCCUUUGAUCGGUACGGGUUGUGGGAGCAAGAUCCCGGAGAUGGAUUCUGAGACAUGAAUCCAGGCCCUACGGGGCGCAGCAGGCGCGCAAACUUUACAAUGCGAGCAAUCGUGAUAAGGAAACCCUGAGUGCCUGUCGAUGCAGGCUGUUCAUAUAUCUAAAUCAUAUGUGAAGAAAGGGCAGGGCAAGACCGGUGCCAGCCGCCGCGGUAAUACCGGCUGCUCGAGUGAUGGCCACUAUUACUGGGUUUAAAGCGUCCGUAGCUUGACUGUUAGGUCUCUUGGGAAAUCUUCACGCUCAACGUGAAGGCGUCUAAGAGAUACCGGCAGUCUUGGAACUGGGAGAGGUAAACCGUACUUCGGGGGUAGGAGUGAAAUCUUGUAAUCCUCGAGGGACGACCUAUGGCGAAGGCAGUUUACCAGAACAGCUUCGACAGUGAGGGACGAAAGCUGGGGGAGCAAACGGGAUUAGAUACCCCGGUAGUCCCAGCCGUAAACAAUGUGCGUUAGGUGUGUCGGUAACCACGUGUUACUGAUGCGCCGAAGAGAAAUCGUGAAACGCACCACCUGGGAAGUACGGUCGCAAGGCUGAAACUUAAAGGAAUUGGCGGGGGAGCACCACAACAGGUGGAGCCUGCGGUUU